UUCCCCUCUGACUAUUGCAGGACGUAGACAAGUUUGGCAACGAGAUCACCCAGCUGGCCCGGCCCCUGCCUGUGGAGUAUCUCAUCAUAGACAUCACAACAACUUUCCCCAAGGAUCCAGUUUACACUUUUUCUAUUUCGCAAAAUCCAUUUCCUAUUGAAAACCGGGAUGUAUUGGGUGAGACACAGACAGAGUCUCACUCUAUCACCCAGGCUGGAGUGCAGUGGUGCGAUCUUGGCUCACUACAACCUCCACCUCCUGGGUUCAAGCGAUUCUUCUGCUUCAGCCUCCUGAGUAGCUGGGAUUAUAGGUGCGCGCCACCAAGCCUGGGACUUCCAUAGCUUGGCCACCUAUUUGUCUCAGAAUACCUCAUCUGUGUUCUUGGAUACCAUCUCAGAUUUCCACCUCUUGCUGUUCCUGGUCACCAAUGAAGUUAUGCCUCUGCAGGACAGCAUCAGCUUGCUGCUGGAGGCCGUGCGGACCAGAAAUGAGGAGCUCGCCCAGACAUGGAAGAGGUCUGAGCAGUGGGCCACCAUCGAGCAGCUGUGCAGCACAGUUGGCGGGCAGCUCC
rnacentral:lncRNA from 10 species